CCAUUCUGUUUAGGUAAGUAAUAAGGGAAAUACGAACAAAAUGACACGUAUGGACAAAAUGACAUAGUGCCCUUAUUUCAAAACGGGGGGGUUUUAGAUACGUUUCCGCGAUUGUAUCACGUGACGGCAGUCAUAUUCACAAUCCUGCCAGACUUUGAGCGCCAUUCUGAAAAUCGCGCCGCAGUAAGCAGAUCACACG